rnacentral:rRNA from 1 species
UACGGAGGGUGCAAGCGUUGUCCGGAAUCACUGGGCGUAAAGGGCGCGUAGGCGGCUCGGUAAGUAGGGGGUGAAAUCCUGCGGCUCAACCGCAGGGCUGCCUUCUAAACUGUCGAGCUCGAGCACGGUAGAGGCAGAUGGAAUUCCCGGUGUAGCGGUGGAAUGCGUAGAGAUCGGGAAGAACACCAGUGGCGAAGGCGGCUAUCUGGACCGGUACUGACGCUGAGGCGCGAAAGCGUGGGGAGCGAACAGG